CAAUUGAGCCAAAGGUUAGAGGAAGCCUACCUCAAGACCACAGACCAUUAAUGAUGUCAGAAGACUACUACGGUCUGUUGUGCUUUCCCUGACAAUUUCGAGCUGCUGAAGUCAAAUCAUCUGUGUUGUUUUGUUGUAGUGCCUUUUUGUUUGUCCUUACCUUCUUUGGAAUGCCCAUUUUUUAACAACCAAUGAUAUAUGAAAUGAAGAAAUGUUUCCAGGCUGCCUGGAGACAGCAAUUAUUCUCUGCAUCCAAGCCUAUGCAUCCAGAAAACAGGUUAAUUUCAUCCAGGAACCCGGUCUGAGGUCUUUCACCCUGCAAGUUGUGCAAAAGAGAUCUCCAGAGCCAGAGAAGCAACCCAUGAUCCUCAGGCAGGACCAUCUCCAUGGUUCUGUGCCACUUCCAUCUCUUUCUCCUUCUGAUAAAAUUCUGUUUUGCAGCAGCCUAAUGAAUCGAUUUGACUGAGUGAGGAGGCAUACUUUUUAAUGAGAAUUUCAAUGUUUGGAGUGAGAGGAAAGUCAUGAUGGAAAUAAAAUCAAGCUGAAAAAUACUGGUGA
rnacentral:lncRNA from 1 species